CCUACGGGAGGCAGCAGUGAGGAAUAUUGGUCAAUGGCCGGAAGGCUGAACCAGCCAUGCCGCGUGAAGGUCAGUGCCCUAUGGGCGUUAAACUUCUUUUGUGCGGGAGCAAUAAUGGUCACGUGUGGCCAGACGAGAGUACCGUACGAAUAAGCAUCGGCUAACUCCGUUCCAGCCGCCGCGGUUAUACGGGGGAUGCAAGCGUUAUCCGGAUUUAGUGGGUUUAAAAGGUGCGUAGGCUGUGAGGUACGUCAGCGGUGAAAUGCCCCGGCUCAACGGGGUGAAGUGCCAUUGAUACUGCCUUGCUGGAAUGCGGAUGCCGUGGGAGGAAUGUGUGGUGGAGCGGUGAAAUGCAUAGAUAUCACACAGAACUCCGAUUGCGAAGGCAGCACACGAAUCCGCGAUUGACGCUGAUGCACGAAAGCGUGGGUAUCGAACAGGAUUAGAUACCCCAGUAGUC
rnacentral:rRNA from 1 species